CCUCACCUGAGCCUGAGGUUGGCCAUGAACUCGGGCAUGGAGACGGUGUCCAUCAGCACGAAGUCUGCCUUGCCGAAUUCCAGGCUCUCCUGCUCCGCCAUGGCGCCGGUGCGGGGGCUCAGGAUUAUUACAGAUGUCUUGAGCAUGGGACCAUUCUUUUUGCAUCCACCAAAUAACUAUUAUACUACCUUGCAUAUAUAAAUAUGAAAUCCAUACUGGUUCAAUGGAAUGAAGUGAGUUAGACAAAUUCUCCCUCUGUCACUCAGGCUGGAGUGCAAUGGUGCAAUCACAGCUCACUGCAACCUCAAACUCCUGGGCUCAAGCAAUCCUCCAGCCUCAGCCUCCUGAGCAGCUGGGACUACAGGUGUAUGACACCAUGCCCAGCUAUUUUUUUUUAAAUAAAUGACUUUCUAAGGUAUCUACAUUUAUUCAGUCCUGUGUUUCUGUUAGGACAUCUUCUAUUACAAAAUCUACUAGGAAAUCUAGAGGCCUCCAAGGACCUGGCUGGGCUUCAACUCUGGUUGAGUUUGAGAUGAGUAAACCAGACUGAAGGACCUUGCCCAAGGCCUGCUUCAGCUGCCAGCCACCCACACUUGCUAAGAAAAAGGGAAGUGGCUUUGUCACCUCCUGAGGGACUGCCUCUGCCAUCAGAAAACCACUCCAACCCCUGGCACCAGCAGAGCUGGGCUGCAUCUGACUACUGUUAGCAGCUGUCCUUCAGAAGGAGGAGAUCCACCUGUCUCGAUAUGAGUGUCCUCAUUCGUGGAAUAAAAGCUCUGGAAUAAGGU